rnacentral:rRNA from 1 species
UACGUAGGUUGCGAGCGUUAUUCGGAUUUACUGGGCGUAACGCGCACCGAGGUGGCUUCUUCAGUUGGAUGUAAAAUCUCCCGGCUCAACUGGGAGGCGCCAUUCAAGACUGGGGAGCUUGAGGUCAGCAGGGGAAAGUGGAAUUCCCGGUGUAGUGGUGGAAUGCGUAGAGAUCGGGAGGAACACCAGUGGCGAAAGCGACUUUCUGGGCUGCACCUGACACUCUAGUGCGAAAGCGUGGGGAGCAAACAGG